CUCAUAAGUCACCCUUUUAUGGCUUGGCAUGAUUUAAGCGAUAGUGAGGAUGUGAAUUAAAAGAGUUUCCAAAGAGAUCAAUAUUUUUAUCCAUGAGGCUGCUGGCUCAUGGUGUGUUUACUGACCUGAGCAGGAAUGUCCCUGGAAGGGCUCAGAGAGUCAAUAUUCUGACAAAAGAGUUCUGAUAAAACAUAUCAUUUUUGUUUUCUUACACGCCUUUUUAAAUUCCCUCCUCUUGACCCACAUGUAUGUCAGUCUUUACAGACGUGUCUUUGUAUCAAACUCUCCAAGUCAUCAGCCAUAGACAGAAAGAUGCUGCUGCUUGUGUGCCUGCAGGUUUUCCUGCUCAUCUCAACCUUCACUUCUACUGAUGCAGCCGCUCUGGGGAAAAGUAGUCAACAAAACCAACAACAACCACCACAGGUAAAUCCAGUAAGAAGAUGCUGGAAAUUCUCUUGUGUUGCACAAGAUUUUUAAACACUUUUGUUUUGAGUCUCAAUGUUAAAUGAGUUCCUGAGAGUCAGAGCUGGAAUUGUUGUGUUCCUACUUAUUGGUGUUCCUACUUAUUGAUCUUAUGCCUUCAAACUGUCCUGAAUUCAGCGACUUCACUUGAUAUUCUCUCUUUCCCUCCAGGAUCCAGUUAAAUUUAAAAAAAUGCCGGCUGGAAUGCGGAUUUCUUCAUCCUUCAGGUAAACUAAACUUUACCUUAAAAUGUUCAAUAAAAAUCAGAUCACAUCCAUUUGAAUUACUGUCAUAAAGAAUGUAAACAUAAGUGAGCGCUUUCCUUUUCUUCUGAUUAACCUAAACCUGUUUUCAGCUAACUGCUUAAUAUUGAGAUUAUUGCUUCAUUUCACUGAUUUGUAUUUCUGUCUUCAGUGCUGAGGGCGGUGACUUUACCUUCACUUAAAGUCAAGAAAGUGGAAAGCUGUGCAAUCUAACUUCAGCCUUUAAUGGCCACAGUGAGGGCUGAUACACGAAGUAGUCAUAAAAUAUAUCAUAUAUUAUCAUGGAGAUGAAGCUGCUUUGUUGCUACACUGUAGUAUCAUUGUUAUUUUAAUGUCUGAAUUCAGUACAGCAAAUUGUGGUUGAAGCUGUUUUUGGUGAGCACUGGCUAAGAAACUCAAAUAAACUGAAAACUUUUAAACACACAGUUACAGAUCUGUUGUUUUGCUUCAAUUUGGAUGAAAUGAUUUAAACUUUUCAGUACAUGAAUUAAAGCUCCUAUGAGUCCCUGUUUGUGUGGAUUUUGGCGCCCCCUGUUGACACAAAGUACCUCUUACAUCUUUGCUGGUUGGGUUCUUUUCAUGUUAAAGUCAUGUUUUCUAAAUGAGCAUAAUCACAUUGUUUCUUGACAGUUAAAUGGCAAGUUUGGUUUGUUUCUUUACACCUUAAAUUCACUGUUUAUUUUUUGAAGGAUAAAUUAAUAAAGCAACGUAUCAUCUUUGGGCCUCUGUUAUUUAAAGGUGGAGGCAGGUGUAGGGCUUUGGUUCAACUUUUAGAACAACAUCAUGCCACUUCAGAAACAAAUCAAAACCAAGAAAGGGCGGGGCUUCAACUUUGUCUAUUGUGGUCUGUGUGGAGGAAAAACUAACCAGACCUGUUUUUUCAAAGUAUAACUUCUAGGUGCUGCUGUUAUUGCUAAAACACAAUCUCAAUCUUUUGUUUUGAUGUUUUUUUGUAACUGAAUGAAAGCAGGGAGCACAGUCAAAUAGACUUAAGAGUCAUUAGUGAGGAAGUGGAAGAGCCAUAAAACAACUUGUGACACUUAGAAACAGCAAUGGUGGUUAGAGAUGGUUUAAAAUUGAGGUUAUGAACACUGUCAGUUCAAAGAAUACUGUUAGUGGACACAGGCUCCUGAACCUAGAAAUCAU